UUCUCAUAUAGCUUAAAUGGUAAAAACUAAUUUGGGGAAAAUUUUUAAAAGGAUUGGGACCAUUCACCAAACCAAACCCCAUCAACUUUUCUUGAUUCUUUUCUUUUGUCCCCAUACCAUUUAAUUUUGUGAAGUCGUUACGUUACUAUUCCGAUUGAUCCAAUUUCACGAUUAAUAAAUGUUUAGCUCUUUUGGUCAGUUUUGAUGUUGACAUCGGAGAAAGGGAAGCUUUGCACGGUUUAGCUUUCCUAAAGUUUUUGUAGGAUUUAAUUAUUAUUGGUCCCUCUUUGUUUAGUAGAUUGCAAAAAAGAGGUUUGUUGAAGGGUCUCUCUAGCCCAAAAUCGCAUGUUCCACUAGAUUCUCUAUGGAAAUCAAACAGGAGGUGGUGGUGAAUCUGCAUCAAGACGGUCGUUGGCAUUGUUGGUCUUGGGUCUUGUCAUCUUCAACAUUUGUACGGUGCUUUCACUUUUCUAAAGUCCAUUUUAUUUUUAAAAUAGUUAUGAUUAAAAUGAUGUAAC
rnacentral:misc_RNA from 1 species